CCGCUGUCACGCUCAGACUUCUCAGACUUGGUCUCAGGCUCAGCUGCUGUCUCUAUGGGGUGGCUGUGGACUCUUCAGGAAUCAGCGACCUUCAUGGAUGUGGUUGUGGACUUCACCCAGGAAGAAUAGGCCUUGGUGGGCGCAUCCCAGCGAAAGCUAUACAGAGAUGUGAUGCUGGAGAACAUCAGUCAUCUUCUCUCUGUUGUUGAGUCUGUCAACAAGGACUUAUUUACUCAAGUAUCCAGGGAAGUUUCCACAUAUCAUGCUCCCCUCUCAGCUCUCAUUUUUAUUCUUUCAUAACACAACUACGAGAAGGAAAGGGAACCUCUGCCACUCCAGUGCAGCCUGACAUUCCUGAGAUGCCUCAAGGCACAACUGAACAUAUG